rnacentral:piRNA from 1 species
GAUAGCGGGAUAGCGGGAUGAUAGCGGGA